rnacentral:rRNA from 1 species
GAUGAACGCUGGCGGCGUGCCUAAUACAUGCAAGUCGAGCGAACGGACGAGAAGCUUGCUUCUCUGAUGUUAGCGGCGGACGGGUGAGUAACACGUGGAUAACCUACCUAUAAGACUGGGAUAACUUCGGGAAACCGGAGCUAAUACCGGAUAAUAUUUUGAACCGCAUGGUUCAAAAGUGAAAGACGGUCUUGCUGUCACUUAUAGAUGGAUCCGCGCUGCAUUAGCUAGUUGGUAAGGUAACGGCUUACCAAGGCAACGAUGCAUAGCCGACCUGAGAGGGUGAUCGGCCACACUGGAACUGAGACACGGUCCAGACUCCUACGGGAGGCAGCAGUAGGGAAUCUUCCGCAAUGGGCGAAAGCCUGACGGAGCAACGCCGCGUGAGUGAUGAAGGUCUUCGGAUCGUAAAACUCUGUUAUUAGGGAAGAACAUAUGUGUAAGUAACUGUGCACAUCUUGACGGUACCUAAUCAGAAAGCCACGGCUAACUACGUGCCAGCAGCCGCGGUAAUACGUAGGUGGCAAGCGUUAUCCGGAAUUAUUGGGCGUAAAGCGCGCGUAGGCGGUUUUUUAAGUCUGAUGUGAAAGCCCACGGCUCAACCGUGGAGGGUCAUUGGAAACUGGAAAACUUGAGUGCAGAAGAGGAAAGUGGAAUUCCAUGUGUAGCGGUGAAAUGCGCAGAGAUAUGGAGGAACACCAGUGGCGAAGGCGACUUUCUGGUCUGUAACUGACGCUGAUGUGCGAAAGCGUGGGGAUCAAACAGGAUUAGAUACCCUGGUAGUCCACGCCGUAAUCGAUGAGUGCUAAGUGUUAGGGGGUUUCCGCCCCUUAGUGCUGCAGCUAACGCAUUAAGCACUCCGCCUGGGGAGUACGACCGCAAGGUUGAAACUCAAAGGAAUUGACGGGGACCCGCACAAGCGGUGGAGCAUGUGGUUUAAUUCGAAGCGACGCGAAGAACCUUACCAAAUCUUGACAUCCUUUGACAACUCUAGAGAUAGAGCCUUCCCCUUCGGGGGACAAAGUGACAGGUGGUGCAUGGUUGUCGUCAGCUCGUGUCGUGAGAUGUUGGGUUAAGUCCCGCAACGAGCGCAACCCUUAAGCUUAGUUGCCAUCAUUAAGUUGGGCACUCUAAGUUGACUGCCGGUGACAAACCGGAGGAAGGUGGGGAUGACGUCAAAUCAUCAUGCCCCUUAUGAUUUGGGCUACGCACGUGCUACAAUGGACAAUACAAAGGGCAGCGAAACCGCGAGGUCAAGCAAAUCCCAUAAAGUUGUUCUCAGUUCGGAUUGUAGUCUGCAACUCGACUACAUGAAGCUGGAAUCGCUAGUAAUCGUAGAUCAGCAUGCUACGGUGAAUACGAUCCCGGGUCU